UAAUAAGUGUUUUAUGGCACUUUUUAAAUCCAUAUCCACCUUGUGUGCAAUGUCAGUCGAUCUUCUUCAUGGAGAUCGACCAAACAUCAACCUUUAUCUUUUAACUCUUUGUCUGAAAAAUAUUAUGAAUAAACAAUUCAAAACA
rnacentral:misc_RNA from 1 species